UACGUAGGGGGCUAGCGUUGUCCGGAAUUAUUGGGCGUAAAGCGCGUGUAGGCGGCUUUGCAAGUCGGGUGUGAAAGCCCUCAGCUUAACUGAGGAAGUGCGCCCGAAACUGCAUAGCUUGAGUACCGGAGAGGGUGGCGGAAUUCCCCAAGUAGAGGUGAAAUUCGUAGAUAUGGGGAGGAACACCAGUGGCGAAGGCGGCCACCUGGACGGAUACUGACGCUGAGACGCGAAAGCGUGGGUAGCAAACAGG
rnacentral:rRNA from 1 species